GACGAACGCUGGCGGCGUGCUUAACACAUGCAAGUCGAACGGUGAAGCGCCUUCCUUUUUGGUGGGUGUGGAUGAGUGGCGAACGGGUGAGUAACACGUGAGUAACCUGCCCCCUUCUUCUGGAUAACCGCAUGAAAGUGUGGCUAAUACGGGAUAUUCUGGGUCUGUCGCAUGAUGGGUCUGGGAAAGAUAUUGUUUCGGUGGGGGAUGGGCUCGCGGCCUAUCAGCUUGUUGGUGGGGUGAUGGCCUACCAAGGCGGUGACGGGUAGCCGGCCUGAGAGGGUGGACGGUCACACGGGGACUGAGACACGGGCCAGACUCCUACGGGAGGCAGCAGUGGGGAAUAUUGCACAAUGGGCGCAAGCCUGAUGCAGCGACGCCGCGUGAGGGAUGGAGGCCUUCGGGUUGUGAACCUCUUUCGCCAGUGAAGCAGGCCUGCCUCGUUUGUGGGUGGGUUGACGGUAGCUGGAUAAGAAGCGCCGGCUAACUACGUG
rnacentral:rRNA from 1 species